rnacentral:lncRNA from 1 species
UCGAACAAUCCAUAUAUAAAUCUAUUCUCUUAUUAAUUUCUCUGCCAAAUCACAAAGUUGCAGUGAAGUUUUUCAAUUUUACCAAAUAAAUUGAAUCAACGAAAUUGGGAAAAAGUAUGUCACUCGGUACUUUAUCUUGUUUAUUAGUUUUGAGGAAAAAUCCAUUAGGAAAAGUUACAAACUUAUCUAUGCUCAAUAUCUGUGACUAUUUUUAUGCGGCAGACUGUUUUAGCUCAAACUCUUUAGUAUAGCUAUAUAAUUGUAAACAGCUCAUGCAAUUUUAUGUUUUGAUUUUUACAUGAUAUAAUAUGGAGAGAUCUGUAAAGAUUAGUGGGGAAGAAAGAUCAAAGACGGAAGAAUAAAAAAAUUCCAGGACUUCUUCAGAAUCAGAUAAUAGUACUGAUGAAACUCCUCUGCCGAAUAAAAAAAUAGAAAAAUCCUCUGUUUUGUAUGUUGGUCUAUUUAUUUUGGGUUACAGAUUUGUAAAGUUGUGGGUGAGCUAUUAUGUUGCCAUAUGUAUGUGUAUGAAUUGUACUUAUAUAUAAUUAUCCCUUUAAUAAAUGAGGAUUAUUUUGGUAGCUUGGGUACAAUAACUCAGUAUAGUUCCACAAGUAAGG